UACGUAGGGUGCGAGCGUUAAUCGGAAUUACUGGGCGUAAAGCGUGCGCAGGCGGUUUGUUAAGACAGGUGUGAAAUCCCCGGGCUCAACCUGGGAAUGGCGCUUGUAACUGGCAAGCUAGAGUGUGUCAGAGGGAGGUAGAAUUCCACGUGUAGCAGUGAAAUGCGUAGAGAUGUGGAGGAAUACCGAUGGCGAAGGCAGCCUCCUGGGAUAACACUGACGCUCAUGCACGAAAGCGUGGGGAGCAAACAGG
rnacentral:rRNA from 1 species